rnacentral:snRNA from 1 species
ACCGAAGACCUUUUGGCUAAGAUCAAGUGUAGUAUCUGUUCUUAUUAGUUUAAUAUCUGAUACAUCUUCUAUCUGAGAAUAACAUAUUAAGUGGAUUUUUGGAGCAGGGAGUUGGAAUAGGAACUUGCUCUGUCCACUCCAAAAAAAAAAAAAAAAAGUUAUUCUAA